rnacentral:rRNA from 1 species
GGCUGUCGUCAGCUCGUGUUGUGAAAUGUUGGGUUAAGUCCCGCAACGAGCGCAACCCUUAUCCUUUGUUGCCAGCGAUUAGGCCGGGAACUCAAAGGAGACUGCCAGUGAUAAACUGGAGGAAGGUGGGGAUGACGUCAAGUCAUCAUGGCCCUUACGACCAGGGCUACACACGUGCUACAAUGGCGCAUACAAAGAGAAGCGACCUCGCGAGAGCAAGCGGACCUCAUAAAGUGCGUCGUAGUCCGGAUUGGAGUCUGCAACUCGACUCCAUGAAGUCGGAAUCGCUAGUAAUCGUGGAUCAGAAUGCCACGGUGAAUACGUUCCCGGGCCUUGUACACACCGCCCGUCACACCAUGGGAGUGGGUUGCAAAAGAAGUAGGUAGCUUAACCUUCGGGAGGGCGCUUACCACUUUGUGAUUCAUGACUGGGGUGAAGUCGUAACAAGGUAACCGUAGGGGAACCUGCGGUUGGAUCACCUCCUUACCUUAAAGAAGC